AUUAGAGAAGGAUGAGCAAGGGAAGGAAGAGCCUGAAACAGCUGAUGCUAACAAUUUAGCCAUUGACUCUAGUAAUCGUCGUAGUAGAAGUGUUAGCAACCUUACUGAUUCUUGGAAAGAGGUCUCCGAGGAGGUAACAUUGUAUCACAGUUUCUUUUCAUGAAAUUCUUUUAAUACAAUGCAUGCAUACGUUGCUUUUUCUUAUGAAACCUUAAUUACCAGGGGCGACUGGCCUUUCGGGCUCUCUUUGCCAGAGAGGUGUUGCCACAAAGCUUUUCGCCUCCGCCCGAUUUGCUAAACAAGGAUCAGGAAAUGGACAGCAUCAAGGAUAACAAGCAAACCACAGAUAUCAAGGAUGAAGGCCAAGACAGC
rnacentral:lncRNA from 1 species